CAGUAUUUACCGCAUGGUAGAUAUUUGAAAGGAGCAAUUGCUUCACUAUGAGAUGGACCUGCGUUGUAUUAGCUAGUUGGUGAGGUAACGGCUCACCAAGGCUUCGGUACAUAGCCGACCUGAGAGGGUGAUCGGCCACACUGGGACUGAGACACGGCCCAGACUCCUACGGGAGGCAGCAGUAGGGAAUCUUCGGCGAUGGGGGCAACCCUGACCGAGCAACGCCGCGUGAGUGAAGAAGGUUUUCGGAUCGUAAAGCUCUGUUGUAAGAGAAGAACUGUGAGAAGAGUGGAAAGUUUCUCACUUGACGGUAUCUUAC
rnacentral:rRNA from 1 species